UUAGUCCAGACCAAGAAACAAGCAAGCUUUAAUUUCUGAGUACACAAUUAUUGCUACGCCAGUAGCAACCUGCAUCUUUGUCUUAUCUCUUCAGCCUCUUAGAGGUCUCAAGACACUGUCAAAGCUUUCCUUUAAACUCCCUUAAGCAUUACUUAUAUUAUUCAAGUUUAAGACACAGCAAAUCUACCCAAGUGUAUAUGGCUGGCUCACUUCUUAUAAAUGAAUCCAUUAGAAAGUGUCCCCUAAUUCAACACUAUUUUCUCUAACCUGCUUGAUUUUCUAAAAGUGGAAAAAAUAAUUCUGGUGUACCAAAACCAGAGCCCAGGUUUUUCAACAUCUUCAGUUAAAUGAUCUUUAAUUCCCCAAUCAAGUUAUAACACACAAAUGUUAUCUGCGCUUUACAGCAUAAAACUCUGAGCAGCUGGUGUCUUUUGGAUGGUGUAACCAUUACACAGCAGUAUAUGCUUGUCACCCUGGUCUUCUUUAGCCUCAAAAAAUAUUCAGAAUUUGUUAUCCACACGGAAGAGUUCUUAUAGCAGCACACUCAGUUACAAAAAGACCAAAAAAAUUUUUAUUGCUUUACAACAAGCCAGCAACAAACACAACUGAAUAAUUAUAAACAUGACACUUCUAAAUCCUCAAAUGGAAUUCCAAGACCAGAGUGUGCUUCUCCAUGUAAAUUGCAUUUGUUAAAACUAAAAUCCACAACCUCUGGCAAGUACUUCAAUAUUCUCAAGCAGAAUCAAUACUUAAAGAGGGGGAAAAAAAACCCUAUUAUCCAACUUAUUGCCUUAUGUGUGAUAAUAUAAUUAGCCUUUCAUGCUUGAUCCUGGCAGUGCUAUUACCACACAUUUUAAGUGACCAUCAUGGGCACUUUUAAGAACCUAACACUUUUGUCUUCCUACAAACUUCAC